rnacentral:rRNA from 1 species
UACAGAGGGGGCAAGCGUUGUUCGGAAUUACUGGGCGUAAAGGGCGCGUAGGCGGCCCGCUAAGUCGAACGUGAAAUCCCCAGGCUCAACCUGGGAACUGCGUCCGAUACUGGCAGGCUUGAAUCCGGGAGAGGGAUGUGGAAUUCCAGGUGUAGCGGUGAAAUGCGUAGAUAUCUGGAGGAACACCGGUGGCGAAGGCGGCAUCCUGGACCAAUACUGACGCUGAGGAGCGAAAGCCAGGGGAGCAAACGGG